GACGUAGGGGGCGAGCGUUGUCCGGAUUUAUUGGGCGUAAAGCGCACGUAGGCGGAUUUUUAAGUCAGGGGUGAAAUCCCGGGGCUCAACCUCGGAACUGCCUUUGAUACUGGAGAUCUUGAGUCCGGAAGAGGUAAGUGGAACUGCGAGUGUAGAGGUGAAAUUCGUAGAUAUUCGCAAGAACACCAGUGGCGAAGGCGGCUUACUGGUCCGGAACUGACGCUGAGGUGCGAAAGCGUGGGGAGCAAACAGG
rnacentral:rRNA from 1 species